rnacentral:rRNA from 1 species
AAACAGGAUUAGAUACCCUGGUAGUCCAUACCGUAAACGAUGAAUGCUAAGUGUUGGAGGGUUCCGCCCUUCAGUGCUGCAGCUAACGCAUUAAGCAUUCCGCCUGGGGAGUACGGCCGCAAGGCUGAAACUCAAAGGAAUUGACGGGGGCCCGCACAAGCGGUGGAGCAUGUGGUUUAAUUCGAAGCUACGCGAAGAACCUUACCAGGUCUUGACAUACUAUGCAAAUCUAAGAGAUUAGACGUUCCCUUCGGGGACAUGGAUACAGGUGGUGCAUGGUUGUCGUCAGCUCGUGUCGUGAGAUGUUGGGUUAAGUCCCGCAACGAGCGCAACCCUUAUUAUCAGUUGCCAGCAUUAAGUUGGGCACUCUGGUGAGACUGCCGGUGACAAACCGGAGGAAGGUGGGGAUGACGUCAAAUCAUCAUGCCCCUUAUGACCUGGGCUACACACGUGCUACAAUGGAUGGUACAACGAGUUGCGAACUCGCGAGAGUAAGCUAAUCUCUUAAGGCCAUUCUCAGUUCGGAUUGUAGGCUGCAACUCGCCUACAUGAAGUCGGAAUCGCUAGUAAUCGCGGAUCAGCAUGCCGCGGUGAAUACGUUCCCGGGCCUUGUACACACCGCCCGUCACACCAUGAGAGUUUGUAACACCCAAAGUCGGUGGGGUAACCUUUAGGAACCAGCCGCCUAAGGUGGGACAGAUGAUUAGGGUGAAGUCGUAACAAGGUAACCA